UUUCCGUAGGUGAAUCUGCGGAAGGAUCAUUAAAAAAUGUGGUACCAACUGUUGGUACUAAUUAAUCAUCCUACCCUUUGUGAAUUUGUUUGUAACGAAUUUUUUUAAAUGGGUCUUUCCCUAAGUUGGAUUGUAGUAAAAUACAAAAAGACUUAGGGGAAUGACUUUUUUAAAAGACUUUUUUUUAAAUUAAAACUUUUUGUAUUCAUUUGUCUAAAAUUUAUUUUUAUAAUAUAAAAACAACUUUUGACAAUGGAUCUCUUGGUUCUCGCAACGAUGAAGAACGCAGCAAAAUGCGAUAAGUAGUGUGAAUUGCAGAAUACGUGAAUCAUCGAAUCUUCGAACGCAUAUUGCACUUUUUUAGUUUACUAAAAAAGUAUGUCUGUUUGAGUAUCAGUAAAAUAUUCUCACAAACAUGUAUUGUUUGUGGUUAUGAGUGUUUUACAACGAUAAACAAGUUGUUUCACUUUAAAUUCUUUUUAAUUGAAUUUUACCAAUUCAUAAAUUAAAAUUGGAUAAAAUUUUCCUUUAACGAGGAAUAACCUAAGCAAUUUUAAAUUUUAUGGAUUAAUAACAUUCAACAAAGGAAUCUAUACAACAAAUAACUUGAUCUCAAAUCAGAUAAGAGUGCCCGCUGAACUUAAGCAUAUCAAUAAGCGGAGGAAAAGAAACUAACAAGGAUUCCCUUAGUAACGGCGAGUGAAGCGGGAAGAGCUCAAAUUUGAAAUCUUCAAGGUUUGACCUUGACGAAUUGUAGUUUAUAGAAGUGUUUUCUGUUGGAGUUUUGGUAAAAGUUCUUUGGAAUAGGACAUCAUAGAGGGUGAGAAUCCCGUAUUUGACCAUGACUUUCCAGCUGUGUGAUACACUUUCAAAGAGUCGGAUUGUUUGGGAAUGCAGUCCAAAAUGGGUGGUAAAUUUCAUCUAAAGCUAAAUAUUGGCGAGAGACCGAUAGCGAACAAGUACCGUGAGGGAAAGAUGAAAAGAACUUUGAAAAGAGAGUUAAACAGUACGUGAAAUUGUCAAAAGUGAAGCGUUUGACACCAGUGUUGUUUUCUCGAAAAUCAAUUUAAUGAGUUCUUGUUUUAAGUUAUUGUGACUUUAUCAGCGCAUUUCUUAUUUUACUUGACUCAUUGAAUGCACUUUUCGUUUAACAAGUCAACAUCAAUUUCUUUGGUGGUAAAAAGUUUAAAGGAAGGUGGCUUGGACUUCGGUUCAAGUGUUUAUAGCCUUUUUUCUAUGCCAUCGGAGAGAUUGAGGUCUGCAGCGUAGAUCCUUCGGGGUUAGAUACCUUUGCGCUAAGUUAUAGUUUUUUAUAGACAACUUGUUGACUAUAAUUAACCCUGUAAUUUACUCGCUUAGGCUAUUUUACCUACGCUUAGGAUGUUG
rnacentral:misc_RNA from 1 species